ensembl:lncRNA
UGUAGAUCCCACAUACCUAGCUAAGUGCACAGUUCCUCAGUUAUGGCAGAUACAGCAUUCACAUUCUGCAAAGUGAGGAGCCUUCGGGGAGACUCUCUUUGAGGGCAGUUAUGCCCAAGUCGCAGAGUUUUCCCAAGGGACCAGCCAGAGGAAGCCUCAGCUGAGUAGCCCUGUGAAGAGAAAUCCUGUGUCAGGCAAAGCUCUGAUUUGAAUGAACACAGUUGUCUUAACCUCUAGUUUCCUAAUUUCCUCCAUUGGUGUCUAGUGUUUGACAAGCCGUUUCUGUUUGGAGACGUUAAGCUGCUCCUCUCUACUCCAGCACCAUGCCCACAGCCUUCACUCAGUUGGCCCUGGAACAACUAUUUCCAAGAUCUAUGCAAGGGAAAGAGAGACUGAAAGGGAACAUGAAGCAAAAUGAUCCCUUAAUUCAAGUGAAUCAUUGUUACCUUCCUUCACAUAUCCCUUCUCUCCUCCUUCAUUGUUCUCCUUUCAAAAGAGAAGUAAUAUGUUCCAAAUCGGACCACAAAGAGGAUCUUCAGAAUCAAGUUAAAUUGGAGCGCAAGGAUUGGGGCUGAUGGGAAUAUGGAUUUUCAAGGUGCCAAGUCUGAUCUAAUUUAUGUUCAUUUCCUGAUUUCCAGCCUUUGGGCAUUUAUUGAAAUAGGGUUUCAUUGUAGAGUUCUUAUAUAACAUGUAUCCCCAUAGAUGUUGUUUUAAAUUUAAUCCAGAACAUAUAACUUUAUAUAUUUUGUUCUGUGAAAAACUGUAUAUGUGUACAAGUGGUGAAUUCCAUGUGCCAAGUAUUUAGACUAGUGUUAUAAUUUCUCUGGUGCUUCCCUAAGCAGCUUUCUCUAAAGGGGCUUGUAACUCAUAAUCACAGGGGCUGUUUGUGAAUAUAUUUCUCUGGGUCAGAAAUUUUGCCAGCGCUGACAGGCACCCUGGACAGCUUUUCAGAAAUCUCCUGGUUAUUACUCAUCCAUUAGAAAGGAAAAAAAUGAUAUUUUGCGUCAGUAGUUGUUUUUCUCUCUCUUUUUUCUUCUAAAUUACAGAAAUAAAGUGCCCAUUGUAAAUCGUUGAUGCUGGCGGACAAUAUUGCAUGCAGAUCAGGCGGACAGCUCAUUGGAUGAACAUGGUGGGUUCUUUUACCACUAGCACCACCUGGGAAGCUAAUGGCAGAAAGUUGAAGAACUAAAGAGCCUCUUGAUAAGGAUGAAAAAGGAAAAAAGAAGAGAGUUAAAAAGCUGGCUUAAAAGUAAAUGUUCAAGACACUAAGAUCAUGGCAUCUAGUCCUAUCACUUCAUGACAAAUAGAUGGGGAAAAGGUAGAAACAGUGGUAGAUUUUAUUUUCUUGGGCUCUAAAAUCACUGUGAAUGGUGAUUGCUACCAUGAAGGUAAAAGAUGCUUGCUCCUUAGAAGAAAAACUAUGACAAAACUAUGCAGAAUAUCAAAAAGCAGAGACAUCACUUUGCUAACAAAGGACUGUAUAGUCAAAGCUAUGGUUUUUCCAGUAGUCAUGUAUGGAUGUGAGAGUUGGACCAUAAGGAAGGCUGAGUGCUGAAGAACUGAUGCUUUCAAAUUGCGGUGCU